UAAUAACGGUAAUGAAGAAUAGCCGAUAGAUGAUAAAGCAGUUAAAAUAAGUGAAGUCAUAUCUAUAACCAAAAACCUGAAAAUUAAUAAAUCUCCUGCAUACGAUCUCAUAAGAGUGAAAAUGGUAAAAGUGAAUGAUCUGGAUACGUGCUGAAAUAAUCCUGCUACAUAAAGGUAAAAACUCUAAAUUACGACCAUUAUAUAAUGGAAGAAAUUACUAAUGGAAGAAAUUAUGCCAAACAAUUAAUCUCGAAACAUUAAUUUGGAUUUAGAAAAAAUCGCAACACAUUCAAGGAAAUAGAAAACCAUUAAAUGGUACAAAAAAAUUACUAUACAAUUAAUAUGCGGGGCUUGCCUUAUAAAUGCGUGGUAUAUACAUCAAAGAUGGGGUAAUAAACAUAUUAAUAUUUUAUAAUUAAAAGAAAAAAUUAUUGAUCACCAUAUAGAAGAAAUGGCUAUUGAAAAGCAAAUAUCUUCAAAAAAGGUUCCCAAUUUCUUCAUUCAUAUAAAAAGUCUGUAAGAAAGCCAAGGACAAGAUGUAAGGAAUGUUAUAAAAAAAGUUAGAGAUUAUGUAAAAGAGUAACGACGUAUUGCAAUCGUUAUGAGGGCCAGCCAAUACUUUGUUUGAAAUGCUUUCAAAAAUUGCAUAGAAAUGCAUAAACAAUUAAGUUAAGUUUACAAUAUUGAGAUGA